rnacentral:snRNA from 1 species
UUGAGGGCGAUCUGGCUGUAGCAUCUGUUUCCCCAUCAAGCACCAGCAUUGGCUGGACUGAUUUGGCUAUCUAGGUGAGUGUUCCUUCCCCCUCCACUGCAUCCACCCCAAAACGGCACACUCAGUUGAAAAAGGUGACCUUCCCCUACAGAAGGGUGACCGUCUGGACGAGGGUGCGGCGUAACUAUGCUCCGUGCUGGAACCUGCAAACAAGCUCUCAGGGUCCAUUUGUAGGAGAAAGUAAGAUAUUCAAGCUUUCAAGACUCCAGACCCCUAAAUGAGGCUCUACAUAUGGCAGUCUUCCUGUUUU